rnacentral:lncRNA from 1 species
GGAGAAGUUGUAAUAAAAACUAGAUUUACCUUGACUCCUAAUCUGGUCUCUUGAGCACAGAGAGUCAGCAUGAAUAAUUUUCUUUGUGUCCCUAUCAGUGUCUCACAGAAAAUGAUGUGCUCAGAGACUGGAAUAACAUUGGAAACAGUGCCUAGUGAGCAGACAGAAAGAGCUGUAAACAUCUCCUCUGCUGCAGGCCGUCAGCAUAUGCAACACUGACAUGAAUCAACAUGGUUGCUGCUUUUGGAGUCCUAAGUCUUGCUGGGGAACUGAUGUUUCACUCCUUCCUGCUGUCCUCUCCGGGAACAGAGCUUCAGUCUCCAUCAUCAAUCAUGCAGGGAGGAAUUCAGACUUCCACAUGGACCCCUUCCUCUCAGAGAUUCCAUCCAGGGGACAGAGCUUCAGUCUUCAACAUCAACCAUCCAGGGAGGAAUUCAGACUUCCACACAGAGACCUGCCUCUCAGGCACUCCCGAUCUGGCAUGUUGAUGAGAUGUGAUUCCAUAUGGAUUGAUGUGUUUCCAUGUUGAUAAGGAAGAUCCAGACCAAGGAAUGCUUGCAGACACGUCCUUGCAGCAGCAGUAAGUGAGACGUACUUUUCGCAGUAUCUUCACUGAGUCUGGAUAUUCCCAGAAAAAGAAAAGAUGUGAUAGGUUAAAAGGGGUAGGUAAUCUAGCGUUACUUUACAAUUAUUCCAUUACCUGUGAGGUCAU